AGUGGAUGGGGAGCAACCUAGUUGUGCGUGUGUAAAGGUAGUGCCAGGAAAAGCGAUGAUCAUGUUGAAAAUCAAUUCCCGGUACCCGAAACCGACACAGGUGGGCAAGUAGAGGAUACUAAGGGGCGCGAGGUAACUCUCUCCAAGGAACUCGGCAAAAUGACCCCGUAACUUAGGGAGAAGGGGUGCCACCGAGAGGUGGUCGCAGUGAAGAGGCCCAGGCGACUGUUUACCAAAAACACAGGUCUCCGCCAAGUCGCAAGACGCAGUAGGGGGGCUGACGCCUGCCCAGUGCCGGAAGGUUAAGGAAGUUGGUUAGUUUCGACGAAGCUAGCGACCGAAGCCCCGGUGAACGGCGGCCGUACCUAUAACGGUCCUAAGGUAGCGAAAUUCCUUGUCGGGUAAGUUCCGACCCGCACGAAAGGCGUAACGACCUGGGCGCUGUCUCGGAGAGAGGCUCGGCGAAAUAGGAUUGUCUGUGAAGAUACGGACUACCUGCAUUUGGACAGAAAGACCCUUUACUAUAGCUUGGAAUUGUGUUCGGGCUUCCUGUGCGCAGGAUAGGUGGGAGGCGUAGAAGGUAUUCUUGUGGGGAUACUGGAGCCAACGGUGAGAUACCACUCUCAGGAGGCUAGAAUUCUAACUUAAUUAAGGACAGUUUCAGGUGGGUAGUUUGACUGGGGCGAUCGCCUCCAAAAAGGUAACGGAGGCGUACAAAGGUUCCCUCAGACUGGUUGGAAAUCAGUCGAAGAGUCAAAGGCAGAAGGGAGCUUGACUGCGAGAAGUACAGUUCGAGCAGGGUGGAAACACGGUCUUAGUGAUCCGACGGUGCUGUGUGGAAGGGCCGUCGCUCAACGGAUAAAAGUUACUCUAAGGAUAACAGGCUGAUCUCCCCCAAGAGUUCACAUCGACGGGGAGGUUUGGCACCUCGAUGUCGGCUCAUCGCAACCUGGGGCGGAAGUACGUCCCAAGGGUUGGGCUGUUCGCCCAUUAAAGCGGUACGUGAGCUGGGUUCAGAACGUCGUGAGACAGUUCGGUCCAUAUCCGAUGUAGGCGUGAGAAUAUUGAGAGGAGCCUUCCUUAGUACGAGAGGACCGGGAAGGACGCACCGCUGGUGUACCUGUUAUGAUGCCAAUUGUAAACGCAGGGUAGCCAAGUGCGGAGAGGAUAACCGCUGAAAGCAUCUAAGUGGGAAGCCCACCUCAAGAUGAGUAUUCUGGUGUAAGGUCACGGGAAGACGACCCGUAAAUAGGCACGAGGUGGAAGUGCAGAGAUGUAUGAAGCCGAAGUGUACUAAUAGACCGUCGGCUUGACC
rnacentral:rRNA from 1 species